rnacentral:rRNA from 1 species
AUUGAACGCUGGCGGCAUGCCUUACACAUGCAAGUCGAACGGUAACGCGGGGCAACCUGGCGACGAGUGGCGAACGGGUGAGUAAUGUAUCGGAACGUGCCCAGUUGUGGGGGAUAACUGCUCGAAAGAGCAGCUAAUACCGCAUACGACCUGAGGGUGAAAGCGGGGGAUCGCAAGACCUCGCGCAAUUGGAGCGGCCGAUAUCAGAUUAGGUAGUUGGUGGGGUAAAGGCUCACCAAGCCAACGAUCUGUAGCUGGUCUGAGAGGACGACCAGCCACACUGGGACUGAGACACGGCCCAGACUCCUACGGGAGGCAGCAGUGGGGAAUUUUGGACAAUGGACGCAAGUCUGAUCCAGCCAUGCCGCGUGCGGGAAGAAGGCCUUCGGGUUGUAAACCGCUUUUGUCCGGGAGCAAAUGCUGGUGGCUAACAUCCACCGGAGCUGAGAGUACCGGAAGAAUAAGCACCGGCUAACUACGUGCCAGCAGCCGCCGUAACAC